UCCAGGAUAGCUCAAGAGGUAGAGCACCCGCUUCAUACGCGGAAGGUUAUGGGAUCAUGGCCCAUUCCUGGGA
rnacentral:tRNA from 1 species